AGCAGCGUGGCUCAGUGGAAAGAGCACGGGCUUGGGAGUCAGAGAUCCCGGGUUCGAAUCCCGGCUCCGCCA
rfam:Ornithorhynchus anatinus chromosome 4, whole genome shotgun sequence.